rnacentral:tRNA from 1 species
GCAGGAGUGGCCAAACGGCUAAGGCGAGCGCCUGCAGAGCGCUAGGUUGGGGGUUCGAAUCCCUCCUCCUGCU